UACGUAGGGACCGAGCGUUGUCCGGAAUCAUUGGGCGUAAAGAGCGUGUAGGCGGCCCCUUAAGUCCUGCGUGAAAUCCUGCGGCUCAACCGCAGACGGUCGUGGGAAACUGGAGGGCUAGAGUGCAGGAGAGGAGAGUGGAAUUCCCGGUGUAGCGGUGAAAUGCGCAGAUAUCGGGAAGAACACCCGUGGCGAAGGCGGCUCUCUGGAACGGUACUGACGCUGAGACGGCGAAAGCGUGGGGAGCGAACAGG
rnacentral:rRNA from 1 species